GGAGAGAUGGCAGAGCGGUUGAAUGCACUAGUCUUGAAAACUAGCAAGGGGGCAACUCCUUCCAGGGUUCGAAUCCCUGUCUCUCCGCCA
rnacentral:tRNA from 3 species